rnacentral:rRNA from 1 species
AACUUUCAACAAUGGAUCUCUUGGCUCUCGCAUCGAUGAAGAACGCAGCGAAAUGCGAUAAGUAAUAUGAAUUGCAGAAUUCCGUAAAUCAUCAAAUUUUAGAACGCAAAUUGCACUUCUUGGUAUUCAGAAGUACACAUGCUUAAGGGUCAGU